rnacentral:rRNA from 1 species
UACGUAGGGGGGCAAGCGUUGUCCGGAAUCAUUGGGCGUAAAGAGCGUGUAGGCGGUUCGGUAAGUCGGCUGUGAAAGUCCAGGGCUCAACCCCUGGGGAUGCCGGUCGAUACUGCCCGGACUAGAGUUCGGAAGAGGCGAGUGGAAUUCCCGGUGUAGCGGUGAAAUGCGCAGAUAUCGGGAGGAACACCUAUGGCGAAGGCAGCUCGCUGGGACGUUACUGACGCUGAGACGCGAAAGCGUGGGGAGCAAACAGG